UUGAACGCUGGCGGCAUGCCUUACACAUGCAAGUCGAACGGUAACAGGGAGCUUGCUCCGCUGACGAGUGGCGAACGGGUGAGUAAUGUAUCGGAACGUACCAUUCAGUGGGGGAUAACGUAGCGAAAGUUACGCUAAUACCGCAUAUUCUGUGAGCAGGAAAGCAGGGGAUCGCAAGACCUUGCGCUGAUUGAGCGGCCGAUAUCAGAUUAGCUAGUUGGUGGGGUAAAGGCCUACCAAGGCGACGAUCCGUAGCGGGUCUGAGAGGAUGAUCCGCCACACUGGGACUGAGACACGGCCCAGACUCCUACGGGAGGCAGCAGUGGGGAAUUUUGGACAAUGGGCGCAAGCCUGAUCCAGCCAUGCCGCGUGAGUGGAGAAGGCCUUCGGGUUGUAAAGCUCUUUCAGACGGAAAGAAAUCGGGCGCGUGAAUAGCGUGCCUGGAUGACGGUACUGUCAGAAGAAGCACCGGCUAACUACGU
rnacentral:rRNA from 1 species